GACAUUCACUGGCAUAAUGGCCAAUCUGUCUAUAACAGAAACGAAGUGGUCUUCUUGCACCCCCAUCACGCAUAUUGGAUGUCUCCACUUGUAUAUACCUACUAGACUUGUUCCAUAUAGGGUUAGAAAAUGAUCUUAGUUGUUCUAUUGGAAUGGAGGGAACUUAGUUUGAUGACGCCGAUGGAGCAUAUUGCUGAUACCCUCU
rnacentral:lncRNA from 1 species